AUUGAACGCUGGCGGCAGGCCUAACACAUGCAAGUCGAACGAGUGGCGGACGGGUGAGUAAUGUCUGGGAAACUGCCUGAUGGAGGGGGAUAACUACUGGAAACGGUAGCUAAUACCGCCUACCAUCGGAUGUGCCCAGAUGGGAUUAGCUAGUAGGUGGGGUAACGGCUCACCUAGGCGACGAUCCCUAGCUGGUCUGAGAGUAUGACCAGCCACGCUGGAACUGGGAUGCGGUCCAGACUACUACGGGAGGCAGCAGUGGGGAAUAUUGCACAAUGGGCGCAAGCCUAAUGCGGCCAUGCCGCGUGUAUGAAGAAGGCCUUCGGGUUGUAAAGUACUUUCAGCGGGGGGGCGUUACCCGAAGAAGAAGCACCGGCUAACUCCGUGCCAGCCGCCGCGGUAAUAC
rnacentral:rRNA from 1 species